UUGUCGGUAAAAUAGGUACUGCUCUAGACAUUUGUCUUGAACAAACUAUUGCAAUGUCAUGUGUAUGUGCUUACUUAGCUGUCAUUUUUCUAUGGAAUAUACUUCCAGGCCGAGGUUGGAUGUUAGUUCAGAACGUGGGUGGGAAUUACGUCUGCCUUGGACUCCAAGACCUGCCAGACCUUAAAUCACCAAACAACUAUAUGGAUUUCGUCAGGCAUCCUAGUACUCAAUUAAGUGAUUACAUAGAGGUCAACAAUAGGAAAGA